UUAAAGAGUGCGUAAUAGCUCACUAGUCGAGUGACUCUGCGCCGAAAAUGUACCGGGGCUAAAUACACCACCGAAGCUGCGGAUUGAUACCAAUGGUAUCAGUGGUAGGGGAGCGUUCUAAGGACAGUGAAGUCAGACCGGAAGGACUGGUGGAGUGCUUAGAAGUGAGAAUGCCGGUAUGAGUAGCGAAAGACGGGUGAGAAUCCCGUCCACCGAAUGCCUAAGGUUUCCUGAGGAAGGCUCGUCCGCUCAGGGUUAGUCAGGACCUAAGCCGAGGCCGACAGGCGUAGGCGAUGGACAACAGGUUGAUAUUCCUGUACCACCUCUUUAUCGUUUGAGCAAUGGAGGGACGCAGAAGGAUAGAAGAAGCGUGCGAUUGGUUGUGCACGUCCAAGCAGUUAGGCUGAUAAGUAGGCAAAUCCGCUUAUCGUGAAGGCUGAGCUGUGAUGGGGAAGCUCCUUAUGGAGCGAAGUCUUUGAUUCCCCGCUGCCAAGAAAAGCUUCUAGCGAGAUAAAAGGUGCCUGUACCGCAAACCGACACAGGUAGGCGAGGAGAGAAUCCUAAGGUGUGCGAGAGAACUCUGGUUAAGGAACUCGGCAAAAUGACCCCGUAACUUCGGGAGAAGGGGUGCUUUCUUAACGGAAAGCCGCAGUGAAUAGGCCCAAGCGACUGUUUAGCAAAAACACAGCUCUCUGCGAAGCCGUAAGGCGAAGUAUAGGGGGUGACACCUGCCCGGUGCUGGAAGGUUAAGGAGAGGGGUUAGCGUAAGCGAAGCUCUGAACUGAAGCCCCAGUAAACGGCGGCCGUAACUAUAACGGUCCUAAGGUAGCGAAAUUCCUUGUCGGGUAAGUUCCGACCCGCACGAAAGGUGUAACGAUUUGGGCACUGUCUCAACCAGAGACUCGGUGAAAUUAUAGUACCUGUGAAGAUGCAGGUUACCCGCGACAGGACGGAAAGACCCCGUGGAGCUUUACUGUAGCCUGAUAUUGAAUUUUGGUACAGUUUGUACAGGAUAGGCGGGAGCCUUUGAAACCGGAGCGCUAGCUUCGGUGGAGGCGCUGGUGGGAUACCGCCCUGACUGUAUUGAAAUUCUAACCUACGGGUCUUAUCGACCCGGGAGACAGUGUCAGGUGGGCAGUUUGACUGGGGCGGUCGCCUCCUAAAGUGUAACGGAGGCGCCCAAAGGUUCCCUCAGAAUGGUUGGAAAUCAUUCGUAGAGUGCAAAGGCAUAAGGGAGCUUGACUGCGAGACCUACAAGUCGAGCAGGGACGAAAGUCGGGCUUAGUGAUCCGGUGGUUCCGCAUGGAAGGGCCAUCGCUCAACGGAUAAAAGCUACCCCGGGGAUAACAGGCUUAUCUCCCCCAAGAGUCCACAUCGACGGGGAGGUUUGGCACCUCGAUGUCGGCUCAUCGCAUCCUGGGGCUGUAGUCGGUCCCAAGGGUUGGGCUGUUCGCCCAUUAAAGCGGUACGCGAGCUGGGUUCAGAACGUCGUGAGACAGUUCGGUCCCUAUCCGUCGUGGGCGUAGGAAAUUUGAGAGGAGCUGUCCUUAGUACGAGAGGACCGGGAUGGACGCACCGCUGGUGUACCAGUUGUUCUGCCAAGGGCAUAGCUGGGUAGCUAUGUGCGGAAGGGAUAAGUGCUGAAAGCAUCUAAGCAUGAAGCCCCCCUCAAGAUGAGAUUUCCCAUAGCGUAAGCUAGUAAGAUCCCUGAAAGAUGAUCAGGUUGAUAGGUUCGAGGUGGAAGCAUGGUGACAUGUGGAGCUGACGAAUACUAAUAGAUCGAGGACUUAACCAU
rnacentral:rRNA from 1 species